AUGAACGCUGGCGGCGUGCCUAAUACAUGCAAGUCGAGCGAACAGACGAGAGUGCUUGCACUCUCUGACGUUCGCGGCGGACGGGUGAGUAACACGUGGGUAACCUACCUAUAAGACUGGGAUAACUUCGGGAAACCGGAGCUAAUACCGGAUAAUAUUUAGCUUCGCAUGAAGCAAUAGUGAAAGACGGUUCUGCUGUCACUUAUAGAUGGACCCGCGGUGUAUUAGCUAGUUGGUGAGGUAACGGCUCACCAAGGCAACGAUACAUAGCCGACCUGAGAGGGUGAUCGGCCACACUGGGACUGAGACACGGCCCAGACUCCUACGGGAGGCAGCAGUAGGGAAUCUUCCGCAAUGGACGAAAGUCUGACGGAGCAAUGCCGCGUGAGUGAAGAAGGUUUUCGGAUCGUAAAACUCUGUUGUAAGGGAAGAACAAGUACGUUAGUAACUGAACGUACCUUGACGGUACCUUACCAGAAAGCCACGGCUAACUACGUG
rnacentral:rRNA from 1 species